UACGUAGGGUGCGAGCGUUGUCCGGAAUUAUUGGGCGUAAAGAGCUCGUAGGCGGUUUGUCGCGUCGGCCGUGAAAUCUCCACGCUUAACGUGGAGCGUGCGGUCGAUACGGGCAGACUUGGAGUUCGGUAGGGGAGACUGGAAUUCCUGGUGUAGCGGUGAAAUGCGCAGAUAUCAGGAGGAACACCGGUGGCGAAGGCGG
rnacentral:rRNA from 1 species